rnacentral:rRNA from 1 species
AUAACUACUCGAAAGGGUAGCUAAUCCCGCAUGCGAUCCGGUAUUCAUUUACCUGAUCAAAGGUCGUAAGAUCGCUCGGAGAGGGGCCUGCGGCGGAUUAGCUAGUUGGUAGGGUAAUGGCCUACCAAGGCGACGAUCCGUAGGGGGCGUGAGAGCGUGACCCCCCACACUGGCACUGAGACACGGGCCAGACUCCUACGGGAGGCAGCAGGAGGGAAUCUUGCACAAUGGGCGAAAGCCAGAUGCAGCGACGCCGCGUGGGCGAUGAAGGCCUUCGGGUUGUAAAGCCCUUUUCUGAGGGAAGAGUAAGGACGGUACCUCAGGAAUAAGCGUCGGCUAACUACGUGCCAGCAGCCGCGGUAAGACGUAGGACGCGAGCGUUAUCCGGAUUUAUUGGGCGUAAAGCGCGUGCAGGUGGUUCCGUAAGUCGGGUGUGAAAGCCCCUGGCUCAACUGGGGGACGCCAUUCGAUACUGCGGAGCUUGAGGUCAGAAGAGGGGAGCGGAAUUCCCAGUGUAGCGGUGAAAUGCGCAGAUAUUGGGAGGAACACCAGUGGCGAAGGCGGCUUUCUGGGCCACGACUGACGCUGAGGCGCGAAAGCUAGGGGAGCAAACAGGAUUAGAUACCCUGGUAGUCCUAGCCGUAAACGAUGGGCACUAGGUGUGGGGGGUCAUCGACUCCCUCCGUGCCGCAGCUAACGCAUUAAGUGCCCCGCCUGGGGAGUACGGCCGCAAGGUUAAAACUCAAAGGAAUUGACGG